GACGAACGCUGGCGGCGUGCUUAACACAUGCAAGUCGAGCGAUGAAACACCUUCGGGUGCGGAAUAGCGGCGAGCGGGUGAGGAACACGUGAGGAAUCUGCCUUCCACUCUGGGAUAACUCCGGGAAACCGGGGCUAAUACCGGAUACUUUCAACUGGCGGCAUCGCCGGUUGAAGAAAGUUUUUCGGUGGAAGAUGACCUCGCGGCCUAUCAGCUUGUUGGUGAGGUAAAGGCUCACCAAGGCGACGACGGGUAGCCGGCCUGAGAGGGCGACCGGCCACACUGGGACUGAGACACGGCCCAGACUCCUACGGGAGGCAGCAGUGGGGAAUAUUGGGCAAUGGAGGAAACUCUGACCCAGCGACGCCGCGUGAGGGAUGAAGGCCUUCGGGUUGUAAACCUCUUUCAGCAGGGAAUAAGCGAAAGUGAAGGUACCUGCAGAAGAAGCACCGGCUAACUAUGUGCCAGCAGCCGCUGUAA
rnacentral:rRNA from 1 species